rnacentral:rRNA from 1 species
AGCGGCGGACGGGUGAGUAAUGCCUGGGAAUAUGCCCUGAUGUGGGGGAUAACUAUUGGAAACGAUAGCUAAUACCGCAUAAUCUCUUCGGAGCAAAGAGGGGGACCUUCGGGCCUCUCGCGUCAGGAUUAGCCCAGGUGGGAUUAGCUUGUUGGUGAGGUAAUGGCUCACCAAGGCAACGAUCCCUAGCUGGUCUGAGAGGAUGAUCAGCCACACUGGAACUGAGACACGGUCCAGACUCCUACGGGAGGCAGCAGGGGGGAAUAUUGCACAAUGGGGGAAACCCUGAUGCAGCCAUGCCGCGUGUGUGAAGAAGGCCUUCGGGUUGUAAAGCACUUUCAGUAGGGAGGAAGGUAGUGUAGUUAACACCUGCAUUAUUUGACGUUACCUACAGAAGAAGCACCGGCUAACUCCGUGCCAGCAGCCGCGGUAAUACGGAGGGUGCGAGCGUUAAUCGGAAUUACUGGGCGUAAAGCGCAUGCAGGCGGCCUGUUAAGUCAGAUGUGAAAGCCCGGGGCUUAACCUCGGAAUUGCAUUUGAAACUGGCAGG